GUGUAGCUCAAUGGCAGAGCAUUUGCUUAGCAUGCUGGAGGGCCUGGGUUCAAUCUCCAGCAC
rnacentral:tRNA from 1 species